rnacentral:ncRNA from 1 species
GGAAAUGUUAUGACCGGGAGAAGUAGACGCAGGUCCACCCCGCCAGAGAGGCGCCGCCAUUGGCUGCGAGCGGUGCUGGGGCAGGAGCGUCGAAAUGCGCCCGUGAACUGGACGGCGGAAACUUAAAGUAUGCCGUCUCGGCCGCAGCCGUUAUUUUGUGGAAAGUGGGGUGCGAGCGACUCGUACCCAAGCAGAGUGGAACCACGGACCACCGUCUCUGUG